UACGGAGGAUGCAAGCGUUAUCCGGAUUCAUUGGGUUUAAAGGGUGCGUAGGCGGACUAUUAAGUCAGUGGUGAAAGCCUGCAGCUUAACUGCAGAACUGCCAUUGAUACUGAUAGUCUUGAGUUUGGUUAAGGUAGGCGGAAUGUGUAAUGUAGCGGUGAAAUGCUUAGAUAUUACACAGAACACCAAUUGCGUAGGCAGCUUACUGAGCCGACACUGACGCUGAGGCACGAAAGCGUGGGGAUCGAACA
rnacentral:rRNA from 1 species